rnacentral:rRNA from 1 species
AUGCAUUGUUAUAUAGAACAAGAACCAGCGGGAUCCUUAGCAGUUACAGAGUUGAUUAUUGGAUAUGUGACGGAUGGGUGGAAACAAUACAUCCACGACGCUGCCAGCUACAGGAGGUUCAAUAGCCGCAGGGGCCACUGGACUCUGCGGACGCAUCGUCAUCUGGGGUGGAGCUUGAACAUGGCGUUCGACAGAAGCGUCCUCCUCUGGCACAUCGCCACAAACCUCUGCUUUCACCACCAAAGAACAACCCCUUACGGCCAACGUCGCGCCGCUCGAAGCAGAGUGAUAUCCCACCACAUGGCUUACCUGCUUUCCAUCAGUCCUGAGAUGUUGAUGCUCGGAACUAGGAACAGUAUCUUCACUGUUGCCUGUGAUGAUGUCGAGAUCAUGAUGGGUGGCAUGUUAGUACCGGACGUAAGAGGACUUGCACAGGGAAUUCUUCACAGGGCUCAACAACCUCCCUCGUCACACACCAGCAAGAUAGGAGCUUUGGUUCCCAAUGCAUGCAGGCUUGCUGAAGCGUUGAUGGAGCUGCGCGAUGAAGGGGAGAGGUGGAAGGUGGUCCAGGGGGUAUGGGUGGAGAUGCUAUGCUACUCUGCCGGUAGGUGCAGGGGGUACUUGCAUGCCAAGAACAUGAGUGAAGGCCCGGAGCUGCUCUCUCAAGUUUGGCUCCUCUUGUCAUUCAUGGGGAUGGAGACGUCCGUCGACAGGUAUCAGAAGCCGGAGCCUCCCGAAACCAAGGAAGAACAAGAAGAAGGUGGUGAAGGCAGAUCCGUCGAGCACGAGAUCCAUAUAUCUGUUUAA